UCCCUGGUGGCUCAGUUGGUAAAGAAUCUGCCUGCAAUGCAGGAGACCCGGGUUUGAUCCCUGGGUCGGGAA
rnacentral:tRNA from 1 species